AUCCUUUUGUAGUUCAUGAGCGUGCUAAUUGGGUGUUCACGAACACGUGUAAGAUGUGCCCCUUUUGAACUUUGUUAAGACGUUGACACAUUACCUUCUGAUG
ensembl:snoRNA